rnacentral:rRNA from 1 species
UACGUAGGGUGCAAGCGUUGUCCGGAAUUAUUGGGCGUAAAGAGCUCGUAGGCGGUUUGUCGCGUCUGCUGUGAAAACCCGAGGCUCAACCUCGGGCCUGCAGUGGGUACGGGCAGACUAGAGUGUGGUAGGGGAGAUCGGAAUUCCUGGUGUAGCGGUGGAAUGCGCAGAUAUCAGGAGGAACACCGGUGGCGAAGGCGGAUCUCUGGGCCAUAACUGACGCUGAGGAGCGAAAGCAUGGGGAGCGAUCCGG